GAGAUGGGAAAUGUGUGUUAUCAGCCCUGUAAAACACUGAAGAGACAGAUCUGGACGCUCCUGCCAGUCACAGAGCAAAUGAGAAGACCAGAAAAAAGAGCUGGAAGAGAUGUCAAGUCGUGUCUUGAGUGCUGCCGUCCUUAGCAGGACUGUGUGAUGUGAAGAAUGGGUGUUCCCAAGAGCCUGCAUAAUACUGAUGUGAGAUGGAGACCUGAUCUGACUGACAGAUUAAAUGACUUUGAUCCUUAUAAUAUUCAGAUAAAACAAUCAUACGUAAUUGAAAAUAUCUGUUCUAAUCAAGAGUCUUUGAGAAAAAUUAGUCUUCCCUUCUUC